CCCUUUCUUUUUCUCAAGGAAGGCUCCUCGCAUUGUGUUUUCUACACAGUGGGGAAGCUGAACGUGGGAAAAAAAGGGCUCUUUGUCCAGCGUUGUGUCUAGUUGGCUAAUUUCUGUCAAACAGCUGUGGCUGAUUCCUUGCCGGUUUGGAUGUGUUCAGGAGGUGGUUCAACAGAAAAGGCACCGGUUUUCCAGCAUCACUGCUGCAGACUGUAGGUGUACCUACUCUGCUUGUGGUAGACUACAAGGAUGUGCCAUAACUCCCUGUUAGAGCACCUGUUCGCAUGCAGAUGGUCCCCGGUUCAACUACUGGUAUCUCCAAAAUAGGGCUGAGAAAGGGCCCUGUCUGACACCCCAGAGGCCCAUUGCCUGUCGGUGAGCUAGGUGGACCACUGAACUAGAUGGACCAAUGGUCUUGCUCGGUAUAUUGUGGGUCCUAUGUUGUGUAAAUCUUCUCAUUUCUGGCCACAGUCUGUUUUGCUGUGCUCUUUGCUCUGAAGACUUCAUUUUGUGAAGGUCCUUGUAUGGCUUGCUUGCAUAAAAUUGGCUCAGCAGAA